rnacentral:rRNA from 1 species
GUGCAGCAGGCGAGAAACCUUCGCAAUGCGGGAAACCGCGACGAGGGGACUCCCAGUGCCUACGCUCAGCGUAGGCUGUUCCCGAGCCUAGAAAGCUCGGGGAGUAAGGGCUGGGUAAGACGGGUGCCAGCCGCCGCGGUAAUACCCGCAGCCCGAGUGGUGGCCACUAUUAUUGGGCCUAAAGCGUCCGUAGCCGGCCCGGUAAAUGCCUGGGUAAAUCGUGAGGCCUAACCUCACGAAUUCCGGGUAGACUGCCGGGCUAGGGGACCGGAGGAGGGAGAGGGGUACUCCAGGGGUAGGGGUGAAAUCCUGUAAUCCCUGGAGGACCACCGGUGGCGAAGGCGCUCUCCUAGGACGGGUCCGACGGUGAGGGACGAAAGCCAGGGGAGCGAACCGGAUUAGAUACCCGUGUAGU